GUUUGUUUGUUUGUUUAAAGAUCACCUGUACCUGUUUGAGUUUUUGUUGUUUGUUUGUUUGUUUAAAGAUCACCUGUACCUGUUUGAGUUUUUGUUGUUUGUUUGUUUGUUUAAAGAUCACCUGUACCUGUUUGAGUUUUUUUGUUUGUUUGUUUGUUUGUUUGUUUGUUUGUUUGUUUGUUUAAAGAUCACCUGUACCUGUUUGAGUUUUUGUUGUUUGUUUGUUUGUUUAAAGAUCACCUGUACCUGUUUGAGUUUUUGUUGUUUGUUUGUUUGUUUAAAGAUCACCUGUACCUGUUUGAGUUUUUGUUGUUUGUUUGUUUGUUUAAAGAUCACCUGUACCUGUUUGAGUGUUUGUUUGUUUUUUUGUUUGUUUGUUUGUUUGUUUGUUUGCUUGUUUAAAGAUCACCAGUACCUGUUUGAGUUUUUUGUUUGUUUGAUUGUUUGUUUGUUUAAAGAUCACCUGUACCUGUUUGAGUUUUUUUUUUUGUUUGUUUGUUUGUUUAAAGAUCACCAGUACCUGUUUUAGGUUUUUUU
ensembl:lncRNA